AUUGAACGCUGGCGGCAUGCUUUACACAUGCAAGUCGAACGGUAACAGACCGCAAGGUGCUGACGAGUGGCGAACGGGUGAGUAAUGCAUCGGAACGUGCCCAGUCGUGGGGGAUAACUGCUCGAAAGAGCAGCUAAUACCGCAUACGAUCUAUGGAUGAAAGCGGGGGACCGUAAGGCCUCGCGCGAUUGGAGCGGCCGAUGUCAGAUUAGGUAGUUGGUGGGGUAAAGGCUCACCAAGCCAACGAUCUGUAGCUGGUCUGAGAGGACGACCAGCCGCACUGGGACUGAGACACGGACCAGGCUCCUACGGGAGGCAGCAGUGGGGAAUUUUGGACAAUGGGGGCAACCCUGAUCCAGCAAUGCCGCGUGCAGGAAGAAGGCCUUCGGGUUGUAAACUGCUUUUGUACGGAACGAAACGGUCUGGGUUAAUACCCUGGGCUAAUGACGGUACCGUAAGAAUAAGCACCGGCUAACUACGUGCCAGCCGCCGCCGUAAGAC
rnacentral:rRNA from 1 species